rnacentral:lncRNA from 1 species
UCUGACGAUACUUGGGAUAAUCUUUCGAUACUCCUUUUUUUUUAACCUAACUUUUCUUCUAUUUUCUAUUUUCAGUGGGUGCACGAUAUGCACGCUCUAGAGAGCGAGUAUCGAAAGAUCACCGACUUUCAUCGAUCCUGGAUGGACAAGGUGACAGCUGUCAGUGCAGAGAAGACUGCUGCCCUCGAAUAAUUUUCAGGAAGCAACUGAACGGGAGGCAAAGCUUCAGGAAG